rnacentral:rRNA from 1 species
CGCCUGGGGAGUGCGGCCGCAAGGUUAAAACUCAAAUGAAUUGACGGGGGCCCGCACAAGCGGUGGAGCAUGUGGUUUAAUUCGACGCAACGCGAAGAACCUUACCUGGCCUUGACAUGCAGAGAACUUUCCAGAGAUGGAUUGGUGCCUUCGGGAACUCUGACACAGGUGCUGCAUGGCCGUCGUCAGCUCGUGUCGUGAGAUGUUGGGUUGAGUCCCGUAACGAGCGCAACCCCUAUCCCUAGUUGCUAGCAGUUCGGCUGAGAACUCUAGGGAGACUGCCGGUGACAAACUGGAGGAAGGUGGGGAUGACGUCAGGUCAUCAUGGCCCUUACGGCCAGGGCUACACACGUGCUACAAUGGUGCGCACAGAGGGCUGCAAACCCGCGAGGGGGAGCCAAUCUCACAAAACGCAUCGUAGUCCGGAUCGCAGUCUGCAACUCGACUGCGUGAAGUCGGAAUCGCUAGUAAUCGUGAAUCAGAAUGUCACGGUGAAUACGUUCCCGGGCCUUGUACACACCGCCCGUCACACCAUGGGAGUGGAUUGCACCAGAAGUGGUUAGUCUAACCUUCGGGAGGACGAUCACCACGGUGUGGUUCAUGACUGGGGUGAAGUCGUAACAAGGUAACCGUA